AGCUUACAUUGAUGCAGUUAGAAGAAACAAAUACCCAGAAGACACACCUCCUGAGAGUCAUGACCCCUGUGGCUGCUGUAACUGCAUGAAGGCACAAAAGGAAAAGAAGUGUGAGAAUGAGUGGACUCAGACCCGGCAGGGUGAGGGGAACUCCACGUAUAGUGAGGAACAGCUGCUUGGGGUACAAAGGAUCAAGAAAUGCAGAAAUUACUAUGAAAUUCUGGGAGUUUCUCGAGAUGCCAGUGACGAAGAGCUUAAGAAAGCUUACAGAAAACUCGCCCUGAAAUUUCACCCUGACAAGAACUGUGCUCCUGGAGCAACAGAUGCUUUCAAAGCAAUAGGAAAUGCAUUUGCAGUCCUGAGCAAUCCUGAUAAGAGACUUCGCUAUGAUGAAUACGGAGAUGAACAGGUGACUUUCACUGCCCCUCGAGCCAGACCUUAUAAUUAUUACAGGGAUUUUGAAGCUGACAUCACUCCAGAAGAGCUGUUCAACGUCUUCUUUGGAGGACAUUUUCCUACAGGAAAUAUUCAUAUGUUUUCAAAUGUGACAGAUGACACUCACUAUUACCGUCGACGGCACCGACAUGAGAGGACACAGACUCAGAAGGAGGAGGAAGAAGAGAAACCUCAGAACUUUGGGCUACACCAUUUCUAG
rnacentral:sRNA from 1 species